rnacentral:lncRNA from 1 species
GUUCCCGGGGAACAAGCCAUCAGCUGACAAAUGGAUGCUCCAGGUGCUCAAGGCAGGAUGGAUGAAAAUUAUAACCUCUUACCUCAUGGAGUUAAUUUCCAAGGUGCCAUCUUCUGAGACACUCAAGAGAACAGAAGAAGGUUUUCUAGCUCGUUCCAGUUUUCAAAUCGUUCCCAAGGGCAGCAACUGGUGACUUUUUCCAGUGACUGGGAGAUCCAAGAAGAAAAUAGG